rnacentral:sRNA from 1 species
GGAUGUGAGGGCAAUCUGGCUGCGACAUCUGUCACCCCAUUGAUCGCCUGAUUCGGCUGAUCUGGCUGACUGGGUGGGUGACCUCUUCCUCCCUCACCGUUCCUUGUGCGUCCCUCCCAAAGCUGACCUUCCCCUGCUAGAAACUCCAAACAAGUCUCAAGAAUUAAUUUGAUGGUUUGAAGACUAAUGACCAUAGACCAAAGUUGUUGUGGGGGAUAUUAAAGACAUAAAGACCAGGAUAGGUAUUAGAAGAGACGAUGAAAUCCGCUGAUGUAUGUACAAUAGU